rnacentral:rRNA from 1 species
CCUACGGGUGGCAGCAGUGAGGAAUAUUGGUCAAUGGCCGCAGGGCUGAACCAGCCAAGUCGCGUGAGGGAUGACGGUCCUAUGGAUUGUAAACCUCUUUUGUCAGGGAGUAAAGGGCGCCACGUGUGGCGCUUUGCGAGUACCUGAAGAAAAAGCAUCGGCUAACUCCGUGCCAGCAGCCGCGGUAAUACGGAGGAUGCGAGCGUUAUCCGGAUUUAUUGGGUUUAAAGGGUGCGCAGGCGGAAUGUAAAGUCAGCGGUAAAAUUUUGGGGCUCAAACCCGUCGUGCCGUUGAAACUGGUGGUCUUGAGUGAGCGUGAGGUAUGCGGAAUGCGUGGUGUAGCGGUGAAAUGCAUAGAUAUCACGCAGAACUCCGAUUGCGAAGGCAGCAUACCGGCGCUCAACUGACGCUCAUGCACGAAAGCGUGGGGAUCGAACAGGAUUAGAUACCCUUGUAGUC